rnacentral:rRNA from 1 species
AGCGCAGACGGUUGAUUAAGUCUGAUGUGAAAGCCCGGAGCUCAACUCCGGAAUGGCAUUGGAAACUGGUUAACUUGAGUGCAGUAGAGGUAAGUGGAACUCCAUGUGUAGCGGUGGAAUGCGUAGAUAUAUGGAAGAACACCAGUGGCGAAGGCGGCUUACUGGACUGUAACUGACGUUGAGGCUCGAAAGCGUGGUAGCAAACA